GGUGAUAGCGUGAAAUUGGGCUCGAGAUGCACGAUGACCAGGAAGAGUUUGGAAAGCAGCGGUGAUCCUCGCGAUAGUUGCCUCUACUUGCGACAAUGGCAGAGGUUUCCCUCCGGGAAAGUAAAAUCUGCAAUAGAAAUUUCGUUUUCGUUAUCCUUAAUCGAAUAGUUCAACGGUUGUUGUAUCGUAUACGGUUUGGAUCAACGUUUACCGUGGUAUGUGAACGUUUCUGUUCGCUUUCACGUGCCUCUGGAGUGUCGUGUGCGGUGGCAAGCUCUUUUGCUGUGUCUUGUCUUUCGCAUCGUACCAAAUAAAGGAAGAAGAUUUGGAAAGAGGCGCGUGGUUGGAGUUUGUUUGAAG
rnacentral:misc_RNA from 1 species